UGGGGAAUCUUGCGCAAUGGGCGAAAGCCUGACGCAGCAACGCCGCGUGAGGGAUGACGGCCUUCGGGUUGUAAACCUCUUUCAGUAGGGACGAAGCGUGAGUGACGGUACCUACAGAAGAAGCACCGGCUAACUACGUGCCAGCAGCCGCGGUAAUACGUAGGGUGCGAGCGUUGUCCGGAUUUAUUGGGCGUAAAGAGCUCGUAGGUGGCUUAUUGCGUCGGUCGUGAAAACCUGGGGCUUAACUUCAGGCGUGCGGUCGAUACGGGUGGGCUUGAGUUCGGUAGGGGAGACUGGAAUUCCUGGUGUAGCGGUGAAAUGCGCAGAUAUCAGGAGGAACACCGGUGGCGAAGGCGGGUCUCUGGGCCGAUACUGACGCUGAGGAGCGAAAGCGUGGGGAGCAAACAGGAUUAGAUACCCCCGUAGUCC
rnacentral:rRNA from 1 species